AUCAGACGAGGAGCCAGAGGCCAAAGAAGAGGAGGAGGAAAAGCCGCACAUGCCUACAGAAUUUGACUUUGAUGAUGAGCCAAUGACACCAAAGGACUCACUGAUUGACAGGAGACGGACACCAGGAAGCUCAGCCCGGAGCCAGAAACGGGAGGCGCGUCUGGAUAAGGUCCUCUCAGACAUGAAGCGCCAUAAGAAACUAGAGGAGCAAAUCCUCCGGACCGGGAGAGACCUCUUCAGCUUAGACUCAGAGGGCCCCAGCCCCACCAGCCCUCCACUCCGAUCCUCAGGAAACAGUCUCUUUCCCAGACAGCGGAAGUACUGACUGGUGCUGCUCCUGCCUACAGGUUAGGCCGGGGCUUGGGAUUCACCAUGGCAACUGAAGAGGCCAUCAUCCGCAUCCCCCCAUACCACUACAUCCAUGUGCUGGACCAGAACAGUAAUGUGUCCCGUGUAGAGGUUGGACCAAAGACCUACAUCCGGCAGGACAAUGAGAGGGUACUGUUUGCCCCAGUUCGCAUGGUGACGGUCCCACCACGCCACUACUGCAUAGUGGCCAACCCUGUGUCCCGGGACGCCCAGAGUUCUGUGUUGUUUGACGUCACAGGACAAGUCCGGCUCCGGCACGCUGACCAGGAGAUCCGACUAGCCCAGGACCCCUUCCCUCUGUACCCAGGGGAGCUGCUGGAAAAG
rnacentral:lncRNA from 1 species